UACGUAGGGUGCGAGCGUUAAUCGGAAUUACUGGGCGUAAAGCGUGCGCAGGCGGUUUGUCAGGUCGGAUGUGAAAUCCCCGGGCUUAACCUGGGAAUUGCGUUCGAAACUAGCAGGCUAGAGUGCGGCAGAGGGGGGUAGAAUUCCACGUGUAGCAGUGAAAUGCGUAGAGAUGUGGAGGAAUACCGAUGGCGAAGGCAGCCCCCUGGGUCGACACUGACGCUCAUGCACGAAAGCGUGGGGAGCAAACAGG
rnacentral:rRNA from 1 species